GAUGAGAACUUCCUUAUAAUGAGAACUUUUCUCAUUCGUCGGAUUGAAUUGAAAUCAACGGACGUGAUCUAAUCCUAACCGCCGAUUAUUCCUACCUUUCUAAUUUUUCAAAAACAAACAUCGAUACUUUCUCUCUCUUCUAAAACUUCUCCAGUCUCUUUUCAACACCCAAAAAAGAAUAUGGAUUCGUCACAAUUUGCUGCAAAUUCGAAGGACGCUUGUUUAAUCUAGUGAUUUAACUUCAAAUUUUAUUUGCGGCACUUAAUUCGUCACUCGAGUUUACGAAAUGGAGCUCAAAAUCAGUCCGCGUUCAUCCAAACGCAAGGAAAAACGAUCUCAGGAAAGAGAUUCUUGGAGCAAAGAACACCUGGAAGAGACAAUUGACCCCACGAGAAUCUUCACAGAAAAACCUAUCAGCUCCUAAAGAGAUGAUAGUGAAGGAUUCUAAUGAGAAGAUGAUGUCACAAGAAAAAUUUCAAUGUAAACUUUGUGUACCACAAGAAACUAACAGCAAGGAUUAUACUAGGGAUGUUGCAUCUCCCCAAAUUGGUCGUAAAGGUAGCACUGUAAAAGUUGAUACCGUUGCUGUUUCUGAGGCUUCCUCUUCUGCUCCAUCUUCUGGCCAUGAAAGCAGGAAUGAUAAUACAAAUGAAACCGAUGGGGACACACAGUUUGAGAAGAAGUCAAUGUUUGUCAUGCGGGGUGGUGAAAUGGUGCAGGUAAGCUACAAGGUAUAUAUCCCGAAGAAAAUUCCUGCUUUAGCCAGAAGGCAACUGAAGCGAUGAUUCAGAUAUCAAUAGCUGCUUGAAUUUUGGGUUCCUCCGGUUGAUACACAGUGGCAGGUUUAAUCUUUUGAGUUUAUUUUGAGUUUCCUGUUGCUUUCCGUUUUCUUGUUGAAUGAAGUUUACAUAGCUGUCUUAGUGUCUUACUAACACCCCCUUGGUUGCUUUUGAACUGCUGAAGUUGCAUGUUCUUGUGUUGCUGCACCUGAUGCUGUAACUUUGACUUUAUAUAUAGACGUUAGGAAAGCUCUCUGAAUUAGUAGCCUUAUGAAUCUGGCAGAAAUCUCUACUGGUGCUUUUUGGGAACAGAUGGUGGCAUUGAGUUUUACUUAAAAGUAGUCCUAUUUUCUUUCUUGUUAA